rnacentral:rRNA from 1 species
UACGUAGGGGGCGAGCGUUGUCCGGAUUUACUGGGCGUAAAGAGCGCGUAGGCGGUCUUGUGCAUUCGGAGUGAAAGGGGCGGGCUUAACCCGCGCACGUCUUCGAAGAUGGCGAGACUGAGAGGGCAGUAGAGGCAGGUGGAAUUCCGGGUGUAGUGGUGAAAUGCGUAGAGAUCCGGAGGAACACCGGCGGCGAAGGCGGCCUGCUGGGCUGUCCCUGACGCUGAGGCGCGAAAGCGUGGGGAGCGAACUGA